UGUCAUGAUGAUUUAAUAAUUCUUCACUUUGACCUGAAUAUUUUUGGUGAGAAUAUUACUCUGAGC
rfam:Biomphalaria glabrata isolate BB02 unplaced genomic scaffold LGTN_random_Scaffold867, whole genome shotgun sequence.